rnacentral:rRNA from 1 species
UACGUAGGCAGCGAGCGUUGUUCGGAGUUACUGGGCGUAAAGGGUGUGUAGGCGGUUAUUUAAGUUUGGUGUGAAAUCUCCCGGCUCAACCGGGAGGGUGCGCCGAAUACUGAAUGACUUGGAGUGCGGAGAGGUGAGUGGAAUUCCUGGUGUAGCGGUGAAAUGCGUAGAUAUCAGGAGGAACACCGGUGGUGUAGACGGCUCACUGGACCGUAACUGACGCUGAGACACGAAAGCGUGGGUAGCAAACAGG